rnacentral:rRNA from 1 species
AAGAAACUACAAUGCAGUUGGACGGGGCCCGCACAAGCGGAGGAGCAUGUGGUUUAAUUCGAUGAUACGCGAGGAACCUUACCUGGGCUCGAACGUAAGAUGACUGUAGGUGAAAGCUUACAUCUCUUCGGAGCAUUUUUACGAGGUGCUGCAUGGUUGUCGUCAGCUCGUGCCGUGAGGUGUCGGGUUAAGUCCCAUAACGAGCGCAACCCCUACCUUUAGUUGCCAUCAGGUUAAGCUGGGGACUCUAAAGGAACUGCCUACGCAAGUAGUGAGGAAGGCGGGGAUGACGUCAAAUCAGCACGGCCCUUACGUCCAGGGCUACACACGUGCUACAAUGGCCGAUACAGAGGGCAGCUACCUGGUGACAGGAUGCAAAUCUCCAAAGUCGGUCUCAGUUCGGAUCGGAGUCUGCAACCCGACUCCGUGAAGUUGGAUUCGCUAGUAAUCGCGCAUCAGCCAUGGCGCGGUGAAUACGUUCCCGGGCCUU